GCCAGCGGCUAUUUCCGAAGAAGUACGUAAAUAUUUGUUCGCUACAGUAACUAUCAUCUCUGUAAUAUCACCGGGGUCUAGUGAUGGGCUAAACUGCGAUUUUCCGAUAUCAGUGAUUUCUGUGAAUGCUACUUUUCAGUAUCUGUUAUUCUUGACUGUGAUUUGUCGCAGUUAAGGAACAUAGGUCGUGUAUCCUUCCGCCACUGCUAUUUCUGCUACUUCCGCGAUUUCUGCUACUUCUGCGAUUUCUGUGACUUUUGCUACUUCUGCGAUUUCUGUGAUUCCUGCGAUUUCUGCGACUUACCACCGUAUGAAAAAGUUACAUCUGUCCACACAGAAAAUUGCAUCUCAACAAACCUGUCAUUGGCAAGUACCUGAACUACAUUUCAGUCACUCAGUAAAGUGAUAACUCAAAAUAUCAUUGUCAACAGAUCUGAAGAAAUUGCCACUGCGUCUUUAGACCGUUUUCGUCAGACGAGAGACACAGUUCUGACUCUGAUUACUGGUUGCUGUAAGUAUCUAUCCACAUCAAGGCUGUUUUUGAGAGAGACUCGUGAAGAUUCAAGACAGCUCUUAGAGAAUUUGCAGUUUAAAAGUGAAAUAAUUGUG